AUCCAUUUUGAUGCCUCAGCUUCAUUGUCAUCGGUGAGCGAGGGCCGACCGGCCGAGGAGGGGAGGCGAAUCGAGGAAUUAGUCCUUCUCGCCGGAAUCGGUGAUGUCCAUGGGCAAAUAGCUGGACCUCCACGCCGGCAGCUAGCAAGCUGCCCCUGCAGAUACAGGGCGAGGACGUUGUGUCCUCUCUGCCAAUUCGUUUCACGCACGAGGACUCCACAAAAGGAUGAUGGCCCCGCCAUUGAGGGUCUUUGAGGAAGAUCUGCAUGGUGCAUUUACCAGGUUCUAGGGGAAAACUUAUGUGGUCAUUGUACUAAAUUUACAACUAGAGAAGUUUGUGUGAUAGCCACAUUACUCCUGUGUAAUUUUCUAAACAUAGUAGAAAAGUUACAUAGUAACUAUUAUGAGCUUGUUUUCUUUAUGAAGAUCAAGUAGUUAAAUAUAAUUUUCAUUUUAUAUCGUUUAGUCUUGCAAUGCUUUCAUCCCAUCAGAUAUUACAAUGUGAUUUUUAGUGUAACUUGUGCAUAUGACAACUAUAAGAACCUUUAUCUCUAUAUUUCACAUUACUUUAUAGACUUAUUUUUGUAUUUCUAUAAUUCUUUUUGUAUUUCCAUGAUUCUUUUUGUAUUGUGCUACCAUUGUACUUCCAUGAUUCUUUUUGUAUUGGGGCUAAAAGGCUGUUAGUUUAUUCCCACAAGUUUUUAUUAUAACGAUUAUAUGCAUUCUUACUAAUUAUAUUGUGUUUCCUUUGUUCCUUUUUCCACAAGUGGAGCCAAAAAAAUCACUCCACCUCCACUGCAAGGGGUCAUGGUCCUUUUUUGUGAGUAAGGUAUUUUCAACUUUCUUUCCCGAUUAUAGUUUAAACUUGUUAUAGGUACAUAGAAUGAUUUUUUGUAUCUUAUGUUCAUGCUUGUUGUACAUAUUUUUUGAGGGGGGGUAUAAUCAAUCCUCUUUUAUUUAAUAUGUAGUAGGAUCUGUUCAUACAUGCAUCUUUGUGGACUUUAUUUUUGGUAUACAGACUCAUAGCUCUUCUGUUGGAUGUGCUGCUCCUUUUUGAGACAUUUAUAUGUUAUUGUUUUGUGUGAAACUACUUUCUGGUAGUUGGGCUUCUUUUUUUAUUUCAAUUAGAGUUACUAAUACUUUACUUACACGAUAAAUUUUUGUGUAUCUUGUGUGUAUUGUCGCUGUUAUUUAAAAAAUAUGCGUAAAACUUACAUCAGUCCUUUUAUAUUGAUUGUAGCAACCAUGUUACUAUGCAUUUCUAUCGCCACUUCUAUGUGGUUUUUCUUUCAUACGAAAUAACUUAUAUGAUUUCACAUGAUUGUGUUUUCUUAUGCCACAUUGUGCCAACUCUGAAUAUUUUAAAACUUUGAACAUGUUGUAAAUUCAUUUAGUUCGGAAAUUAUAAUUUAUUCACUCAUUAGUUUGAUUAACUUGAGCUCUUGUUUUUUGUUGGAGCAAAAAAAUUACCAGCGAGUUAAACUUUUGUACUACAAAUGAGUGCCCAUUGAUAAAGCUAUUUACAGUAUAUGAAGCUCAUGUUUGCUGGCUGGGAAUAUCCUUCGACUACUAAUGCCAGUUUCAGUUUUCCACCCUACUUUGAUUGGCACUGGAAUGAGUAGCUCUCUGAUACUCAGUACUCGUUGUCAAGCACUGGGUCUCAUGAUAGCACAAAAAAGGCUCCAUCUACACGGAUCUCCUUUUACAGCAGGUCAAAAUUUUCAGGUGUUAAACUUUUUAGGUUUGUGUCAAAAUUUUUAGAUGUGUUUUUUUUUCUUGUUAUCAGCCCAAAAAAUAUACCUCUAAAUGUUUACUUUUCAAGAUAUUUUUUUCUUAUUAUCAGCCAAAAAUUGUACAUGUAAAUGUUUGUUUUCUUGUUAUCAACCCAGAAAUUGUACCUGUAAAUGUAUUUUCAUAUGUAAUUGUACCCAGAAAUGAUUUUUUUGUUUGUUAUCAGCCAAGAAAUUCUACCUGUAAGUGUGUGUGCAUGUGUGUGUGUGGGGGGUUGUGUAGGUUUGAGUGGAGCAGAUGUUGCAAAUGUCCGAGUAAAUGUAUGUUUAUUGU